rnacentral:rRNA from 1 species
CGGCGGACGGGUGAGUAACACGUGGGUAAUCUGCCUUAUACAGGGGGAUAACAGUUAGAAAUGACUGCUAAUACCGCAUAAGCGCACGGAAACGCAUGUUUCUGUGUGAAAAACUCCGGCAGUAUAAGAUGAGCCCGCGUCUGAUUAGCUGGUUGGUGGGGUAACGGCCUACCAAGGCGACGAUCAGUAGCCGGCCUGAGAGGGUGAACGGCCACAUUGGGACUGAGACACGGCCCAAACUCCUACGGAAGGCAGCAG